GCUAGGCGCUAACCUAAUCCCUAACCCUAAAGAAAGGCGGACCUAAUCCCCAAUCAAACCGGCACGCGAGCACGCUGCGGCGCCGCCGCACAUCACCUUCCGGCCACCGCGGCGCCGUCCUCUGGUGCCCUAUACUCCUCCUCCGACGCCGCCGAAGUCCUCCACGGCAACAACUGUACUCCUAUCUGUCGUCACCGACUCCCUCCGCCGCCACCGACACGCUGCACUGUUGUACGAUCCUGAAGCAAGCCCGCAAGGAGGAUCUUGAUUUCAGAAGAGGUAUGGAGGACUCCUCGAGUUGAAGAUCAACUCCAGCUACUUGUCAUCGACUACAAGCUAUGGCCCUUCCCUAGUUUUAUCGAUAUCAUUCAAGAGAGCUUACGCACCCCGGUACCCUUAUCCUGAGCGUCCAUGCUCCUAGGGAUCUGAGUCAGCCCGGUCCGUAAAAUGCCACUGCCCGUUACUUUCCCAGGGGAUUACAGGGUCAGGCACUGUUCAAACUCAGGGCAUUGUUCCCUCUGACCGCUGCGGCGCUGCGCACACCAGAUAAGACCAAAUGCAUGUGCACGUUUUCACAUCUUCCCGGCGUACUCACAUGGGAUCUACAUGUACUGUUUCAAACUGCACAUAUCCACGGCACAAAUCGUCUUUGACUUGCAAUUUGUAUGUGUGCCUGCAAGUUAAGCUUAAUACUACUUGGGACGUCUUGUCCCAUGGCAGUUCAUAUACAAUUUUUUGUGGAGUACUUUUAUAACCGUGGUAAUUAUGUGUGUUUCACCAUUGGAUUAGGCACUGAGGACAGUACUUUAGAUCACCCCGGUCCUUGA